UACGUAGGUGGCGAGCGUUGUCCGGAUUUACUGGGCGUAAAGAGCGCGCAGGCGGUCGUUCAAGUCGGAUGUGAAAGCCCCCGGCUCAACUGGGGAGGGUCAUUCGAUACUGAUCGACUCGAAGGCAGGAGAGGGAAGCGGAAUUCCCGGUGUAGUGGUGAAAUGCGUAGAUAUCGGGAGGAACACCAGUGGCGAAGGCGGCUUCCUGGCCUGUUCUUGACGCUGAGGCGCGAAAGCUAGGGGAGCAAACAGG
rnacentral:rRNA from 1 species